UUUUUAUGUGCUUAAAUCGAUGGA
rnacentral:siRNA from 1 species